rnacentral:rRNA from 1 species
GACGAACGCUGGCGGCGUGCUUAACACAUGCAAGUCGAACGGAAAGGCCCUGCUUUUGUGGGGUGCUCGAGUGGCGAACGGGUGAGUAACACGUGAGUAACCUGCCCUUGACUUUGGGAUAACUUCAGGAAACUGGGGCUAAUACCGGAUAUGAGCUCCUGCGGCAUGGUGGGGGUUGGAAAGUUUCGGCGGUUGGGGCUGGGCUCGCGGCUUAUCAGCUUGUUGGUCGGGUAGUGGUUUACCAAGGCUUUGACGGGUAGCCGGCCUGAGAGGGUGACCGGCCACCUUGGGACUGAGAUGCGGCCGAGACGCGUACGGGAGGCAGAAGGGGGGAAUAUUGCACAAUGGGCGGAAGCCUGAUGCAGCAACGCCGCGUGCGGGAUGACGGCCUUCGGGUUGUAAACCGCUUUCGCCUGUGACGAAGCGUGAGUGACGGUAAUGGGUAAAGAAGCAACGGCUAACUACGUG